UACGUAGGGCGCAAGCGUUGUCCGGAAUUAUUGGGCGUAAAGAGCUCGUAGGCGGUUUGUCGCGUCUGUCGUGAAAGCUUGGGGCUUAACCCCAAGUCUGCGGUGGAUACGGGCAGACUAGAGGCAGGUAGGGGAGAACGGAAUUCCCGGUGUAGCGGUGAAAUGCGCAGAUAUCGGGAGGAACACCGGUGGUGUAGACGGCUCACUGGACCAUAACUGACGCUGAGACACGAAAGCGUGGGUAGCAAACAGG
rnacentral:rRNA from 1 species